rnacentral:rRNA from 1 species
UACGAAGGGGGCUAGCGUUGCUCGGAAUCACUGGGCGUAAAGCGCACGUAGGCGGCUUCUUAAGUCAGGGGUGAAAUCCUGGAGCUCAACUCCAGAACUGCCUUUGAUACUGAGGAGCUUGGAGUCCGGGAGAGGUGAGUGGAACUGCGAGUGUAGAGGUGAAAUUCGUAGAUAUUCGCAAGAACACCAGUGGCGAAGGCGGCUCACUGGCCCGGUACUGACGCUGAGGUGCGAAAGCGUGGGGAGCAAACAGGG